rnacentral:rRNA from 1 species
GACGUAGGGUCCGAGCGUUGUCCGGAGUUACUGGGCGUAAAGGGCGCGUAGGCGGCUCUGUGCGUCACCCGUGAAAGCCCCCGGCUCAACCGGGGAGGGUCGGGUGAAACGGCGGAGCUGGAGGCAGCGAGAGGCUGGUGGAAUUCCCGGAGUAGUGGUGAAAUGCGUAGAGACCCGGAGGAACACCAGUGGCGAAGGCGGCUUCCUGGUCUGCGACUGACGCUGUGGCGCGAAAGCUAGGGGAGCGAACGGG